rnacentral:rRNA from 1 species
UUUCGAAAAAAUAAAGGCUUAUGGUGGAUACCUAGGCACCCAAAGACGAUGAAGGGCGUACUUACCGACGAUACGCUUCGGGGAGCUGGAAUGACGCUUUGAUCCGAAGAUUCCCGAAUAGGGCAACCUAUAAAACUUCUUUUUGAAUUCAUAGAAAAGAAAGAGACAACCGAGUGAAUUGAAACAUCUUAGUAGCUCGAGGAAGAGAAAGCAAAAGCGAUUCCCGGAGUAGCGGCGAGCGAAAUGGGAACAGCCUAAAGGAAAAGAUUCGUUUUUUCCGGUUGUGGGACAUGAAAGGAAAACAAAAACACAUAACUGAAACAGCUGAGUCCUGUACCAAAGAAGGUGAGAGUCCUGUAAGUCUUUGUUGUUCAAAAAAUUCAGUUCGAGGGGUGGAUGAUCUUCGGUCGACGACCGUAGGGAGUCAGCCCUUUGUCUUGAUAUUUCCAAUGAAUCCCGAGUAGCAUGGGGCACGUGAAAUCCCGUGUGAAUCCGCGAGGACCACCUCGUAAGGCUAAAUACUCUUGGGUGACCGAUAGUGAAACAGUACCGUGAGGGAAAGGUGAAAAGAACCUCAUCAGGGGAGUGAAAUAGACCAUGAAACCGUUUGCUUACAAGCAAUGGGAGAGUC